AACUCAAAGGAAUUGACGGGGGCCCGCACAAGCGGAGGAGCAUGUGGUUUAAUUCGAUGAUACGCGAGGAACCUUACCUGGGCUUUAAAUGCUUAAUGACGUACUGGGAAACUGGUAUUUCUUCGGACAUUUUGCAAGGUGCUGCAUGGUUGUCGUCAGCUCGUGCCGUGAGGUGUCGGGUUAAGUCCCAUAACGAGCGCAACCCCUAUUGUUAGUUGCCAUCAGGUCAUGCUGGGGACUCUAACAAAACUGCCCGCGUAAGCGUGGAGGAAGGUGGGGAUGACGUCAAAUCAGCACGGCCCUUACGUCCAGGGCUACACACGUGCUACAAUGGCCGGUACAGAGGGCAGCCACUUGGUGACAAGGAGCAAAUCUCAAAAGCCGGUCUCAGUUCGGAUCGGAGUCUGCAACUCGACUCCGUGAAGUUGGAUUCGCUAGUAAUCGUAGAUCAGCAAUGCUACGGUGAAUACGUUCCCGGGCCUU
rnacentral:rRNA from 1 species